ACGGAAGGCAGCAGUGGGGAAUAUUGCACAAUGGGGGAAACCCUGAUGCAGCGACGCCGCGUGAGUGAAGAAGUAUUUCGGUAUGUAAAGCUCUAUCAGCAGGGAAGAUAAUGACGGUACCUGACUAAGAAGCCCGGCUAACUACGUGCCAGCAGCCGCGGUAAUACGUAGGGGGCAAGCGUUAUCCGGAUUUACUGGGUGUAAAGGGUGCGCAGGUGGUAUGGCAAGUCAGAAGUGAAAACCCGGGGCUCAACCCCGUGGAUUGCUUUUGAAACUGUCAAACUAGAGUACAGGAGAGGUAAGCGGAAUUCCUAGUGUAGCGGUGAAAUGCGUAGAUAUUAGGAGGAACACCAGUGGCGAAGGCGGCUUACUGGACUGAAACUGACACUGAGGCACGAAAGCGUGGGGAGCAAACAGGAUUAGAUACCCUGGUA
rnacentral:rRNA from 1 species